rnacentral:rRNA from 1 species
CCUACGGGUGGCAGCAGUGAGGAAUAUUGGUCAAUGGGCGAGAGCCUGAACCAGCCAAGUCGCGUGAAGGAUGACGGCCCUACGGGUUGUAAACUUCUUUUGUCAAGGGACAAAAUCAGGCUCGAGAGCCUGACCGAGGGUACUUGAAGAAAAAGCAUCGGCUAACUCCGUGCCAGCAGCCGCGGUAAUACGGAGGAUUCAAGCGUUAUCCGGAUUUAUUGGGUUUAAAGGGUGCGUAGGCGGUCGGAUAAGUUAGAGGUGAAAUCCCGAGGCUCAACUUCGGAAUUGCCUCUGAUACUGUUCGGCUAGAGAGUAGUUGCGGUAGGCGGAAUGUAUGGUGUAGCGGUGAAAUGCUUAGAGAUCAUACAGAACACCGAUUGCGAAGGCAGCUUACCAAGCUACUUCUGACGUUGAGGCACGAAAGCGUGGGGAGCAAACAGGAUUAGAUACCCGGGUAGUC